rnacentral:rRNA from 1 species
AUGUGUCUUGGAGUUACCUGCUCGAACUCAUGUCAAGAUCGACUAGGGUUCGGCCAACGUUGUUGUGACCUGAUUGCUUUGUUAUGGUCCUCCACCUCCUGUAGGAUCCUGGUGAAUGGAGAGCCUGGUCUGUGUUUUUGCACAAGCAAGGCCUGCGUCAGGGAGACCCUAGCUCUCUCCCCGAUGCUUUUCACAAUUGCUAUUGCUCCUUUGCAUUGGUUAUUUGCCAGGGCCUACUAUGUUGGAGCUCUUAGUGGACUAAGACUGCCACCUUCCCAGCCACGGGUCAGCCUCUAUGCUGAUGAUGCUGCCCUGUUCGUGUCUCCGGCUGGUAAACUCCCUACUCUCGGUGAUCCCGGUAUACUUAAUUUCCCUCUUCAAGCUCGAUAUUUGGGUCCUGAAGCAGAUUGA